rnacentral:RNase_P_RNA from 1 species
CGAGCUGGCAGGGCGGUCGCGUGACCCGGUCCCCUCGGGGAGCGGGUUUCGAGGAAAGUCCGGACUCCGCAGGGCAGGGUGGUUGCUAACGGCAACCCGGGGUGACCCGCGGGACAGUGCCACAGAAAACAGACCGCCCAGCCGUUCGCGGCUGGGUAAGGGUGAAACGGUGGUGUAAGAGACCACCAGCGUCCCGGGUGACCGGGACGGCUCGGUAAACCCCACCCGGAGCAAGGCCAAGAGGGAGCGCGAGCUCCUGCGCAGGCGAUCGAGGGCGGCCCGCCCGAUGCCUGCGGGUAGGCCGCUGGAGCCUGCCGGCGACGGCAGGCCGAGAUGGAUGGCCGCCCACCGCGGCCCCGGUCCGCCGGGGUCGUGGGGACAGGAUCCGGCUUACAUGCCAGCUCGUCCU